ensembl:lncRNA
UAAAUCUACUUUUUUUCCCGUCCACUAUAUGAGGUAAAUAUUUGCUGAUAGGAGUAGGGGAAAAAAGACAUGCAAAGUACUCUCCCCAGAGUGCAGAGAUGAAAAGAAAAAAAAAAUCAUGAAAAACAAAUAAUGAGGAAAAAUAUGCAGCUUUAGCUAAUUAAUGUUGAACACCAGGAUUAUGACUUGUAUAAAUGCAUUAAGAGCCACAGCAUAAUUUUUGAUGAGAGUGAGUAUGCAGUGCAACUUUAGGACAUUCCAUGUGGGACACAGUUUUAAAUAAUUGAAAUUCAUGUUUGCAUAAAUUAUUGUUUUAAACAGGGGCCACGUCCAUUGCAAAUGAUGAUUAGCAUUAAAACACAAGCUGGUGGAACAGAAAGCGGUCAUUAGCAAGUUUUUCUCACAGCUGUCAGAAACCUUCUGUCACCCUGUGCCAAGACAGCGUUCCGCCCACUGCUAUUUCACGCCAGGGACAGAGAGAGACAGAGAGACAGAGAGAGAGAGAGUGAGAGAGAGAGGGAGAGAAGGAGAGCAUGCCGGGCGCCAGAAGCGGCAUCAACAAACAGUUAAUGCUUUACACUCCAGUCCAGUUGGUGGCAGUAAUACAUCAUAAGUUAGCUUGUCAACCACCAUUAAAUCGUACAAGAAGAAGAAGAAGAGUCUUCAGCGUAGCCAUUUUGAACAGGUGGUGA